rnacentral:rRNA from 1 species
CGACGAGUUUGUCCUGGCUCAGGAUGAACGCUAGCGGCAGGCUUAACACAUGCAAGUCGAGGGGUAAGGUAGCAAUAUCUGAGACCGGCGCACGGGUGCGUAACGCGUAUGCAAUCUACCUUUUACAGAGGGAUAGCCCAGAGAAAUUUGGAUUAAUACCUCAUAGCAUAGCAGCUUCGCAUGAAGUCACUAUUAAAGUUCCAACGGUAAAAGAUGAGCAUGCGUCCUAUUAGCUAGAUGGUAAGGUAACGGCUACCAUGGCUACGAUAGGUAGGGGUCCUGAGAGGGAGACUCCCCCGACACUGGUACUGAGACACGGACCAGACU